CUCCUAGAUUCUUCAUCAUCAAAGACAGUUUCCUGCUCUACUAUGCGGAGAAUGAGAAGAGAAGCUUUGAGACCAACAAACACUUUAACAUCCACCCCAAGGGUGUGAUCCCUUUAGGAGGCUGUGUUGUGGAUCCGAAGGAAGACCAGGGCAUGCCAUUCGCCAUGGUUAUAAAUCAUGAUGACUUCACUGGUAACAUUGUCCUGGCUGCAGAGAAUGAGGCAGAACAAAACCAGUGGCUGGAGAUGCUGCAGGAGUCUGGCAGAGUCACCUGGAAGAACGCCCAACUGGGAGAAGCCAUGAUAGAGAG